UGGGGCUGUAGCUCAGCUGGGAGAGCACCGGCUUUGCAAGCCGGGGGUCGUCGGUUCGAUCCCGAUCAGCUCCAUCC
rnacentral:tRNA from 14 species